rnacentral:rRNA from 1 species
UGGGGAAUAUUGGACAAUGGGCGAAAGCCUGAUCCAGCCAUGCCGCGUGUGUGAAGAAGGUCUUCGGAUUGUAAAGCACUUUAAGCUGGGAGGAAGGGCAGUAAGCGAAUACCUUGCUGUUUUGACGUUACCGACAGAAUAAGCACCGGCUAACUCUGUGCCAGCAGCCGCGGUAAUACAGAGGGUGCAAGCGUUAAUCGGAAUUACUGGGCGUAAAGCGCGCGUAGGUGGUUCGUUAAGUUGAAUGUGAAAGCCCCGGGCUCAACCUGGGAAAUGCAUCCGAAACUGGCGAGCUAGAGUAGGGCAGAGGGUGGUGGAAUUUCCUGUGUAGCGGUGAAAUGCGUAGAUAUAGGAAGGAACACCAGUGGCGAAGGCGACCACCUGGGCUCAUACUGACACUGAGGUGCGAAAGCGUGGGGAGCAAACAGG